CGAUAGCGUAUAUUUAAGUUGCUGCAGUUAAAAAGCUCGUAGUUGGAUUUCGGGUGGGAAUGGCCGGUCCGCCGUUUCGGUGUGCACUUGCUACGCCCACCUUGCUGCCGGGGACGUGCUCUUGAGUUCACGCUCGGGACACGGAGUCGGCGAGGUUACUUUGAGUAAAUUAGAGUGUUCAAAGCAGGCCUACGCUCUGAAUACAUUAGCAUGGAAUAACACGAUAGGACUCUGGCCUAUCUUGUUGGUCUGUAGGACCGGAGUAAUGAUUAAGAGGGACAGUCGGGGGCAUUCGUAUUCCAUUGUCAGAGGUGAAAUUCUUGGAUUUAUGAAAGACGAACUACUGCGAAAGCAUUUGCCAAGGAUGUUUUCAUUAA
rnacentral:rRNA from 1 species